UACGGGAGGCAGCAGUGGGGAAUAUUGCACAAUGGGCGCAAGCCUGAUGCAGCCAUGCCGCGUGUAUGAAGAAGGCCUUCGGGUUGUAAAGUACUUUCAGCAGUGAGGAAGGUGGGUAUGUUAAUAGCAUACUCAUUUGACGUUAGCUGCAGAAGAAGCACCGGCUAACUCCGUGCCAGCAGCCGCGGUAAUACGGAGGGUGCGAGCGUUAAUCGGAAUUACUGGGCGUAAAGCGCAUGCAGGUGGUUUGUUAAGUCAGAUGUGAAAGCCCGGGGCUCAACCUCGGAAUUGCAUUUGAAACUGGCAAACUAGAGUACUGUAGAGGGGGUAGAAUUUCAGGUGUAGCGGUGAAAUGCGUAGAGAUCUGAAGGAAUACCGGUGGCGAAGGCGGCCCCCUGGACAGAUACUGACACUCAGAUGCGAAAGCGUCGGGGAGCAAACAGGAUUAGAUACCCUGGUAG
rnacentral:rRNA from 1 species